AUAUUUUACAAUGGGGGCAACCCUGAUCCAGCCAUGCCGCGUAUGUGAAGAAGGUCAUCGGAUUGUAAAGCACUUUAAGUUGGAAGGAAGGGCGUUAGGAUACUACCCUGAACUUUUUACGUUACCAACAGACUAAGCACCGGCCAACUCUGUGCCAGAAGCCGCGGUAAUACAGAGGGUGCAAGCGUUAAUCGGAAUUACUGGGCGUAAACCGCGCGUAGGUGGUUCAGUAAGAUGGGUGUGAAAUCCCCGGGCUUAACCUGGGAACUGCUUUCAUAACUGCUGAGCUAGAGUACGGUAGAGGGUAGUGGAAUUUCCUGUGUAGCGGUGAAAUGCGUAGAUAUAGGAAGGAACACCAGUGGCGAAGGCGACUACCUGGACUGAUACUGACACUGAGGUGCGAAAGCGUGGGGAGCAAAC
rnacentral:rRNA from 1 species